GGGGAGAUGCCGGAGUGGUCAAACGGGCGACGUUAAGGCCGUCGUAGCUUACGCUUACAGGGGUUCGAGUCCUCUUCUCCCCAC
rnacentral:tRNA from 1 species